rnacentral:rRNA from 1 species
UACGUAGGGGGCUAGCGUUGUCCGGAAUCAUUGGGCGUAAAGCGCGCGUAGGCGGCCAGAUAAGUCCGGUGUGAAAGUCCAAGGCUCAACCUUUGAAUGCCGCUGGAAACUGUCUGGCUUGAGUCCGGAAGGGGCGAGUGGAAUUCCUGGUGUAGCGGUGGAAUGCGCAGAUAUCAGGAGGAACACCGGUGGCGAAGGCGGGUCUCUGGGCAGUAACUGACGCUGAGGAGCGAAAGCGUGGGGAGCGAACAGG